rnacentral:lncRNA from 1 species
CAUUCCCACAUAUUCCAACGUGGGAGGGGAUCUACAGAAACUUGAUGACUCUUCCCUGAUAGGUCACACUGCUGCAGCCUGCAGAAUAUACAAAGACAACAGAUGUACACAGACCACUAGUGUGAUACUGAAUAACUGGAUUGGCUUCACACAAAGAAUUAACAUCAUUGCAACUUUCCACUAAAGCACUGAAAAACAGUGGAGGAGUAACUUUCUGUGAUUCAAAGUCAACUCUUCAAGCACUUCAAAAUCCAACAUGCAAAGCAGGUGAUCUGAGUAACACACUGCCACCAUAUCAUCCCUAACACCUGUGACCUGUACUUCAAGAUGUUCCACAGGUAUUCUGAGGAAUAAACUACCACCCUAUAUGGGACACCUGUGAUCUCCUGUCAUUCAAGAAACAUCUGUAUAUGUCUGUAGGCCAUUUCCUGAUAUUUUCUUUACAUUUUCUACUGACCCGGUAUUAUCAAGCGAAUAAUAUUGCAGUUGCUGUGGUCUGCUUUACAUACUAAGUAUAUUCAAUUACACUACAAUUCGUAAAAAUGGUUAGGCCUGCAGAUUUUUCAAAAAAGUUCACUCUAAAAAAACAAGAGAGAAAUCAAACAGGAGGUAAAUCAUAUCAGUGUUUAGAAUGUCUGAAAUAUUUUAGCCAAAAAAGCAGUCUUACAAUACACAAGAGAGUUCAUACAGGCGAUAAACCGUAUCAGUGUUUAGAAUGCCUGAAAUAUUUUCCCUAUAAAGGAUAUCUUGUAACACACAUGAGAGUACAUACAGGAGAUAAACCAUAUCAGUGUUUAAAGUGUCUGAAAUGUUUUAACCGAAAAGACACUCUUGUGAGACACAUGGUUGUUCAUACAGGAGAUAAACUGUAUCAGUGUUUAGAGUGCCUGAAAUAUUUUGCCUAUAAGCACUAUCUUGCAGUUCACAUGAGAGCUCAUGCAGGAGAUAAACCGUAUCAAUGUUCAAAGUGCCAGAAAUAUUUUGCCACUAAAGGCACUCUUGUAAGACACAAGAGAGUUCAUACAGGAGAUCAACCAUAUCAGUGUUAAGUACAUCAAAAAUAUCUUAACCGAAAAGCCCAUCUUGUAACAAAUUUGAAAGUUCAUACAUGAGAUAAGCUGUAUCGGUGCCUGAAAUAUUUUUCCUAUAAAGAAUGCCUUUUAACACACGUGACAGUUCAUACAUGAAAUAUAUUGUAUCAGUGUUUAGAGCAUAUGAUAUAUUUUAGUGAGAAAAUCAGCAGGAGCCAUGAGGAUAAUUCGAUAUAAUCAGUCUUGUAAAACACACAAAUUUAUUCUAGAAAUAAGUUAUAUUAGUCAUGAAUGUCAGAAAUAUUGUAUGGAAAAUCUCCAUCUUGUAAGGAGUUGAUUCUGGAGAUAAAUCAUAACAGUGGUCAGUCUUAAACAUUUUGUAGGAAAAAAAAAAAAAGACACAUGUAACGGUACAAGUUUGUUCAUAUAGGAGAUAAGUUUGAUCAGUGACAAUAGUGACAGAAAUAAUUUAACUAUAAAAGUUUCUUGCAAGAGAAAUGAGAGUUCAUAUGGGAGAUUAACUGUAAAAGUGUUGAGGUUAUCUGAAACAUUUUGCUCACAAAUGUCCUCUUGUCAUGAAUUCCUGUUGUUGGGGGGCAGGAUGCCUGUUCAUUUAGGCUUAUCAAGGUACCAGUAGUCAACGUUCCUUAGGGUGGAACACAUAACAGUUAACUUGCUCGCUGUAAGGGCAAGAGCUUUGAAGCUCUACCCUAGAAUACAAACACUCAAAACCAGUCCUUACUGCUUAGAGAAUAAAACGAGCCCUAUAAUAAAACCGACGAAUUAAAUAAUCAAACAUACCUGGGCAAACACUUCACCCCUAGGGACCGAACAAGGUUAAGAUAACAAGCGGGAGAAAUGAUAGUGUCUUAACUCUACAAAAGGGUUUUAAUUCUAGUUCUUAACCUUUGUGCUCCAUGCCUUUUAUUGUGACAUUCUGGUGGUGUGCAGAAAAUAGUGUUCCCAAAAAAUUUAGUCUUUGUUAAUUGUUAAAAUCCCUUCUCUGAACAUGUAAAAAAAAAAAAAUAUAUAUAUACAGUAUCCACUCAAUUUAACGGCCUCUUUUAUACCGAUCUUCCGGUAAUAACGACCGGUUUGGGAGA